rnacentral:sRNA from 1 species
CUAAUGAGGCCGAAGAACAAGAAGAAGACGAACAUGGUGUUCAAGA